ensembl:misc_RNA Y_RNA Y RNA
GGCUGGUCUAAGUGCAGUGGUGUUUACAAUUAAUUGAUCACAACCAGGUAGAUUCCUUUGUUCCUUCUCCCACUGCGUCACUUGACUAGCCUUUA